UUAAAAAAAAUAAAAAUAAAAACUCUUCCCAAUCGCAGUAUCAAGUUUUGAAUUUAUGUUUAAGAAAACUCUUAAAAAAAAAAAUUUAAUUUGCAAUUUUAUCGCAUUAAACCAUCUUAUAAAUUUCACUUUAUUACAGUUGAUAGUUUUGCUUCGAUAUCUGCAAAAAAAAAAACAGUCAGUAUUUUUGCCGCAUAAUCCUUUAGAUAGCUGUUAAGUUUAGCAAAAUUAUGACCCAUGUUAAAGGUCUACUGAAUCACUGCAUUGGUUAGAAGAUUAGUUGCAUUCGGAGGAUUGCACAUGCCCAAUUCAUGAGAAUGAACAACCCCUCUUUGGACGCGACUUUAUACUUCCUUCCAGCUCAUGUUAUAAAUAUUUGCGUUAAAACUGCACAUCCCCGCACAAGAAAAUAUGACCGCACUAACUCAUUCUAUUUUAAUAAAAUGCUUCAAAGAUUUAAAAGAGUUUCAUUCAUAAUUUCGCGUAAUCUAUCUGGUUUUCUCAAGUAUUUAUUGUGUGACCCAGUAGCAUAAAUUACUGUUGGAACACGUGUCUUUUCUAGAAACGAGGUUGCUAAAUAAUACAUAUAUAUAUAUGAAACUGGCGACGUUAAUACAUGACGAAAUAUUCUUUGACGCUAUUUAAAAUAAAAAAAUAUGUAAAUAAAUAUGUAAAGAGUCUAG
rnacentral:lncRNA from 1 species